rnacentral:rRNA from 1 species
GUAGGUGACCUGCGGAAGGAUCAUUAUAGAACAACCAAUAUAAUAUCAAGGAAAGGAGGAGGGUAGAGAGACUGUCGCCGGGUUAGACUUUGACCAGUCCAGCGUCGUGCACGUCCCCUCACCUUCGACUAUCUGAGAUAUAUAUAUUAACACACACCUGUGCACCUUUUGUAGAUUCCCCCCUUUCGAGAGAGGGGUGGUGGCGAUCUAUGUUUUCAUCAUAUCACACACAUCGUAUGGCCAGAAUGUAACAAACGAAUGAUAAUACAACUUUCAGCAACGGAUCUCUUGGUUCUCGCAUCGAUGAAGAACGCAGCGAAUUGCGAUAAGUAAUGUGAAUUGCAGAUUUCCAGUGAAUCAUCGAAUCUUUGAACGCAUCUUGCGCUCCUUGGUAUUCCGAGGAGCAUGCCUGUUUGAGUGUCAUUCAAAUCAUCAACCAAAUAUUCAUUUAUUUGGCUUGGAGUUGGGAGCUGCUGGCAGCGAUGUCAGCUCUCCUCAAAUGCAUUAGCGAUCGAGUUGGCUAGUCUUUGACGUACACGGCCUUGGACGUGAUAAUGAUCGUCCUGGCUGGAGCGUUUUUCCUAGACUAUGUACAUAGGUCGCUUCCAAUCAUGAAUGGAGAYGGAAGAGGGGAGAAGGAUAGAGAGAGUCUGGUCUUGGUCUAUCGAGCUUAGCUACUAGGCAGUCUUUUGAUCAGAAAGGCUGGCGAACGCAAGUGAAAUACAAGUGCUAGCUCUCUAUCUGUCUGUCUUUCUUUCUUUCUUCUCCAACAUCGACAUUGGACUUGACCUCAAAUCAGGUAGGACUACCCGCUGAACUUAAGCAUAUCAAUAAGCGGAGGAAAAGAAACUAACAAGGAUUCCCCUAGUAACUGCGAGUGAAGAGGGAAAAGCUCAAAUUUUGAAUCUGGCGGUCCUCGUGGCCGUCCGAGUUGUAAUCUAGAGAAGCGUCUUCCGCGCUGGACCGUGUACAAGUCUCCUGGAAGGGAGCGUCAUAGAGGGUGAGAAUCCCGUCUCUGACACGGACUGCCAGUGCUAUGUGAUGCGCUCUCGAAGAGUCGAGUUGUUUGGGAAUGCAGCUCAAAAUGGGUGGUAAAUUCCAUCUAAAGCUAAAUACAGGCGAGAGACCGAUAGCGAACAAGUACCGUGAGGGAAAGAUGAAAAGAACUUUGGAAAGAGAGUUAAACAGUACGUGAAAUUGCUGAAAGGGAAACGCUUGAUGUCAGUCGCGUCCGCCAGGGAUCAACCUUGCUUCUUCGCUGGGUGCAUUUCUUGGUCGGACGGGUCAGCAUCGGUUUCGAUCGUCGUAGAAUGGUCGAGGGAACGUGGCACCUCUAGGGGUGUGUUAUAGCCCUCGGUCGUAUGCGUCGGUAGGGACCGAGGAACUCGGCAUGAACCUUCACGGGUCAGUGUCUAGGAUGCUGGCAUAAUGGCCUUAAGCGACCCGUCUUGAAACACGGACCAAGGAGUCUAACAUGCCUGCGAGUGUUCGGGUGGAAAACUCGAGCGCGCAACGAAAGUGAAAGUCGAGAUCUCUGUCGUGGAGAGCAUCGACGCCCGGACCAGAGUCUUUGACGAAGGAUCUGCGGUAGAGCAUGCAUGUUGGGACCCGAAAGAUGGUGAACUAUGCCUGAAUAGGGUGAAGCCAGAGGAAACUCUGGUGGAGGCUCGUAGCGAUUCUGACGUGCAAAUCGAUCGUCGAAUUUGGGUAUAGGGGCGAAAGACUAAUCGAACCAU